rnacentral:lncRNA from 1 species
CCAUGAUGCACCUGGGGUGGCAGGGCCAUGUGAUCAGGAGGGUGAGCAUGUUAGCUCUGGGACCACCACCAGCCACGUACCCAUCGUUGAGGUGGAGAGGGCACAGCUGCCCCACUCCUAUCAGCUCCAGGGUACAGUGCUGGAGGAGGAGGAGGAGCCGGCAGACCCAGGGUCGAGGGGGGAGCAGUCUGGGAGGAUAACUGGAGCCUCCCACACCUCCUAUUUCGUGAGCGGUGUUCCCCAUGUCAUACGCUGUUUCCAGCCCCCUCUGGUGCAGACCCAGACAUUCACCAUCACAGACGUGUCCAACUCCCUCCCUACUGACGUGUCUACUAAGGAUGUCCCUAUCGUUCAGACCCAGACUGUCACCUACGAGUCUGCAGAGGUGUCAGUUGACGGGACAGACGGGGGGGAAAGAGGCCACAGCACUGAGCAGCAUUCAGACCAUUACCUCAGAGAGCAGCAGGGAAACCAGUGGCACCUCUGUUACUACCACCACCACUCGCAUCUCCAAGGUGGUGAAAGGAGGAGUGUCAGAGACCAGAGUGGAGAAGAGGAUCGUCAUCACUGCUGACUCAGAGGAUGACCAGGGAAGCGACGGUGGAGCAACAGCAAUGUGAUUCAGCUGAACACAGUCAGGGAGCAGCCCUAUGGAUCUGAUGCUCAAGACACCAAAGGACUAACCUCCCUGUCCCAGAGCCACCCCCACCUCCUCAACCCACACUGACAUUGUGUCCUGACUGGUCCCCUCCAGAACCAUCGUGGUUGCAUCUCAAAUGGCACUACUUUUGACCAGAGCCCUGGUUAAAAGUAGUGCACUAUAAAGGGAAUAUGGUGCCAUUUGGGAUGCACCCUGGUGUGUCCCUGCCCAGUGGGAUAUGAACAGGCCAGGGAGAAAGCCUAUUGUGUCAUCUCUUUCCAUACUGCUGUUCUGACUGUAUGGUGGCUUCAUGUUGGUCUAUUCCACUCAAACCUCAUAUUUCGCCAAAUUACUCUUUUUUUGUUUUAUUGUAGUAGGAAAGAUGAACCUUUUCAGUUCUAAGAGCAUUUAGGUCAUUUUUUUUUUAAAGUUUAUUUACAACAUAUUUUUCUGUCGUUUGUAUUGAUACUACUGUAUCAUUGAGUUUAAGUGUGGACUCAGCGAUAUGACGGAGAUGCAGAAAGUAAACAGCGUAGUGGGUCAAUUUCAGCAAAACAACUAAGAGCGUUGAAGUGAGAGGCUCAACUUCUCCGCUGUUUUGGUGCCAUGGUUCCAACGCUGUGAAAAGAGUGAAGCGAACCCGUGCACAUGCGCAGAUACUGUGUGAGAGCAAAGUCUUGCAUCUCGCUCAUCUCAAUAUCUGCGGUGCUGGUCGAGGCAACGGCAUUUUACUGAGUCUCCCUUUAACAUGCUCAUUUUGAUAGAAAUGCACUGUUUUCAACUGAGCUUUAAGUAAUAACAUUAUCAGACUUUUUCAAUCAGAUUAAGAUGCUGGACAGAAACUAGAUGUAUUUUUGGAAAGGGAUAACUCCUUUGAGUUUGUUUACGUUUAUAAUUGAGGAAUAUUAUUUUUUUAUUGAAUAUUCAAAUUGAAAUUACAUACCUCACUUAAAAGUAUUGAACAAAGAUAUUGCAUACUCAAACAACCAUGCCUGUUUUGGAUUUGUUCUCUGCUCAGGUAAAAUAUCUCUUUCUUAACCAGCCAAGUUAACACAUGUAAUACUACUAGGUCAGGCCACGAUGACCCUCGUUAUAAACUUUGACGUGAUGACAACUAUCUGUUUUGAAAUGUUUACUCUAUUUUAUAGCAUUACUGCUUUUAUAGUAUUUGUACAAAAUGAGGUUUUUAAGUUAUUGAAGUUCAUAUCCUACUCAAUGAUAGCUUCUCAUAUCAAUAUUGUCUUUUUUUUUUACCCCUUGAAUUUGGGAGUGCCCCCAUGUUUCCCAGUACGUAUUCAGCGUUGUUUUUUCUUCCUCUUUUAACGCACCAUUGACCUCUAGGACUGCCCCAUGCAGUCUGAUGUGAGAGCAAUGGAAAGUCCCACCGUGUUUUGUCCCUUAAAAUGAUUUUAGAUAGAAACGGGAUUGAUUUUCAAACCUGUUGUUGAUUUGAUGAAACAAUGCUUUAGUCUUGUUUCUCAGGGUUUAUGUCUUUAUCAAUACUGCAAGACAAAACCCCUCUGUAUAUGAUUGUAUGAAGAAUGUUCAGUCUUAAUGUACAUUCUAGCCCUGCAGAUGGGUCCAAAUGAUACUCAGCUCUUAAACACAGUAGUACAUGUGCAAGAUGUAUUUAUCACUAUCAAAAGGCAGCUGUCCCAGUAUAUGUGGCUUUUCUUUCAUAUAGGGGCACAUAUUUUGUCCAUGUUCUACCAUAAUUUCUUUGUAGACUGUUUCAUGUGAUUCUUUUUAAAACACGAGUCUGUUUGCAGGCUUUUAGACACAAAGUCGCAUUCAUAAUCAUCUAGUUUGUAAAUCUUUCUUACCACUUGUUUAGAGUAGAUUCCUCUACCACUUGCUGUACCCUUUCCUUUUGUAGAUCAGACAAAGGUAUGAGAACCCUUUUAGAGAAUGACAAUAGCAGACCUUUCUUCCCCUCUGAAGAAGUUUGUGAAGGUGGCACAAACUAUUAGCUAGAAAGAUCUUGAGGGCAUAAACUAGAAUCUCAGCGGAACCCUUCGUUUUUACAUUUGUAAACAUAUUGUUGCUUUUGUGACAUUCCUGUCUUAAAAUUAAAUAAACUUAAUUAAAAUCUGAAUUAUCAAGUGGUGUGUAGUGUCUGAGCAUGAUUUCAGUCACAAGAACAUUUUUUAAU